CCUACGGGAGGCAGCAGUAGGGAAUAUUGCUCAAUGGGGGAAACCCUGAAGCAGCAACGCCGCGUGGAGGAUGAAGGUUUUCGGAUUGUAAACUCCUUUUGUUAGAGAAGAUAAUGACGGUAUCUAACGAAUAAGCACCGGCUAACUCCGUGCCAGCAGCCGCGGUAAUACGGAGGGUGCAAGCGUUACUCGGAAUCACUGGGCGUAAAGGGCGCGUAGGCGGGAUAGCAAGUCAGAUGUGAAAUCCUAUGGCUUAACCAUAGAACUGCAUUUGAAACUGUUAUUCUAGAGUAUGGGAGAGGUAGGUGGAAUUCUUGGUGUAGGGGUAAAAUCCGUAGAGAUCAAGAGGAAUACUCAUUGCGAAGGCGACCUGCUAGAACAUAACUGACGCUGAUGCGCGAAAGCGUGGGGAGCAAACAGGAUAAGAUACCCGAGUAGUC
rnacentral:rRNA from 1 species